AUCCAGAGUGUUGAGUCCAGUUCAGGGCUGUCUCCCUGAUCUGUUAAUUAGACUUUGGGACAUCGAAAUGGGCUAGGGAAAAGGAGUGGAUAGAAGGCCUUCCUCUAUCCAUCUAUCUCUCAGCCUACAGAA
rnacentral:snoRNA from 1 species